UAGAUUAACCAACCCAAUCGAUUCAACAUGUUUAGUCCUUCCACCUUUGUGAUUCCACACUCCUAAUCAUAUGAACUAAAAUGUUGCACACUCAAUCUUUGGAAGAUAUAUAUAAAAAAAACAUAAAUAUAGAUAGAUUAUCUUUCCAUUAGGUUGAGCGAUUUGAUCUGACAAAUGUUUUAAAUAUUACACCCAUGAUCUUAUUAUCCAUCAACUUUGUCUUCCUCACUAUGCUUAAGGUUAGAGAAGAAUAAAUACACUUUUGGUUCUGUUGGUGUUUUCCACCAACAGGGCCCAUGCACUUGAUCUCUGCCUUGUCUUUAUGAGCAGGUACACUUCGAACAAAAUAUGAAGGAGUUUUAUAACUCCCAGACUCCACCAAGUGAAGAACCUAGAUCUACGAGCACAAACACACUGGAGAUACUGGACACUCAGGCAAUCACUGCCCUGAGAUGCUUGAGGACGUAACUACUGAAGUAACCCUAUUGUGGAAGUAAUUACUGACUUUCUGCCGGUCAAGAGAUACAAUCCAGGACGUCCCGUCAUCCCGAUCUCCAUCGGCAUGGUGGACUUCCUAGAAGCACUCUGCAACUUUGGCUCCAGCGUCAACAUUAUGCUCAGGCUUGCAGAUCAGACACUAAGUUUCCCAAAGGGAAUAUUGAAGAACCUCUACGUCUGAGUUGGUACCUUAUACGCUCCAGCAGAUUUCAUGGUGAUAGAGACUGAUACUGAUGAGAGGGCACCCAUCAUCCUAGGGAGGCCAUUCCUGAACACCUCGGGAGCUGACAUCUACGCUAGUGCUGCCAAGAUCAGUUUCUACAUCAAGGGGAAGAAGGAGACGUUUUCCUUCAAGAACAAGACUACACAAAUCCCAGAGCAAUCCCGACAUGAACCAAGGAAGAGGACCAACAGGAGGAACAGGAACAAGCAAAUGUGUACCGAGUCAGCUAAGAUGGUCACUGCAACUCAAGGAGGUCAAGAUUGUCAACUCAAGUCACCUUUCUUGAUCAAGAAGGACGACCCUGGUGUUCCAAGCAUCGAGUGCAUAAUCAACGGAUAUUCUUUUCAGAAGACACUCUACGACACCGGAUCUAACGUCAACAUAAUGGCCGCAGUUCGGAUCGGUGUUUGUAGGACCGUAGUCAGACCUUCCUAGCCCCCUUCUCAUCUCUUUCUAUGGUUAGUGCUCUGAUGUCCCGAUAUAGAUAAUCUUGAAGUAAUUCUUGAUUCUUAGAUCAACUAGAGAACUCUCAGGAAACUUCCUCUCUUCCCACCAAAAAUAGUUAUAUAGUUAUCCUUGGGCGAUCUUGGAUCUUAAUUAGUACACUCACGUUCCCUGUGGAAAGUCGAUACUCUGGAAUACUCCCGGGUGAAAGCUACAUCGGUAUCCGUGCGCUUGCGGAUUUUUCUGUUUGCGUUUAAAAUACCCAACAAGCUUUUUGGCGCCGUUGCCGGGGAACGGUAGUUCUGCUAGUUUCGAACCAAGUCGUCCGUGUAUCCUUUUUCUUUUCCUUUCUUACCACACUCACCUUAUCAUUUUUACCAUACCACAUGGAUUUCACUCUAAGCAUUAUUGAGCAUGGAAUUUAUUUCAUAGCCACUUCAUUUACUCCAUGCUCAUAUGCAACAUCUUCACAAUCCAUUGGUCUCUCCAACAUCACCACAUUCGAGAUCUCCAACCCCCUCAUCCUUUCUAUUUAUAAAAACUUUAAAAUGGCGGUUGUCGAUGCAUAUGUCUAUAAGAAAUAUUGCAGAUCUCGUUGAGUUGAUCUUGAUAUAGGUCAGCAUUGGAGGGGAAACCACUUCGCCGACAUAAAUUGAUGGUUUCCCAAGGACAAGCUUAGUGUCCUAAAACAAGCACUGAUUAGAUCAUAACAUGAGCUUUUAAUUAUUUGCCACAUUACCUUGUGAGUUGAGCAUAUAAGGAUAAUUGUAAAAAAAUUCCUUCGGGUAUUCUUGUCACUAACCUUUCCAGGAUUGGAGCAAGAAGAUCGGAUGAAUGACAAACACAAGGUAUGUCCAACCAAUCAUCAUACAACAUUGAAUUAAAUUCAUCCAAACUUGAAUUUUGCAAAAUUCAAGCUUGGAGGAGUACUUUACAUAAAAACAUCCUUUGUCAUGUUGCUAUGUUGGUUGUCCCUACCUUUGAGACAUGCUCAAUUUGUUAAAUACUAAUCACACUACUUCAUCUCCACUUGAGUAGAUCUCUAUAAAUGCUCUCAUGCUACCUUUAUUUGCUUUAGUAUAUGUCUAGGUUUGGAGUAGUUUCAUUUAUCUCUUAAUUAAGCAUGGUGCUUAGUUUAGGAAUGAUGAUCUUACUUCCAAAGGAUUUUAAAUUAAGCAUGAUGCUUCGGUUAAAAUGCCCUCCUAAAAUCAAAUUAGACAUGGUGUCUAGGUUGAUCUUUGAGCCGAUAGUAUGCUAUAGUAGAUAUUGGAUAUUUUGUUGGACUAACCCCUGCAGGAAAACUUUAACUAUCGACCUGGGAAGUCCUGAGAUAAACUCACAUUGGAGACAAAGAGAGAGACACAUGAAAGUUAACAAUUUACACAAGGAAGGCAUAGCUCACAAGAGAUGAUCCAUGGAGGGUGCCACAAACACGAUGCACAACCACUAAGAGAGGAAAGCUUCCACAAGGUGAUAUUGUACCAUCACUCUUCAAGUAAGGUAACAUCUUAAGGUACUUGACUAUCACUUCUAUAAGCUUCUCCUUGAUUCUGGCGUUCACAUGAAUAAAAGAGACAAACAUGUAUGAUUUACAACUCUAGAUUAACCAACCCAAUCGAUUCAACAUGUUUAGUCCUUCCACCUUUGUGAUUCCACACUCCUAAUCAUAUGAACUAAAAUGUUGCACACUCAAUCUUUGGAAGAUAUAUAUAAAAAAAACAUAAAUAUAGAUAGAUUAUCUUUCCAUUAGGUUGAGCGAUUUGAUCUGACAAAUGUUUUAAAUGUUACACCCAUGAUCUUAUUAUCCAUCAACUUUGUCUUCCUCACUAUGCUUAAGGUUAGAGAAGAAUAAAUACACUUUUGGUUCUGUUGGUGUUUUCCACCAACUGGGCCCAUGCACUUGAUCUCUGCCUUGUCUUUAUGAGCAGGUACACUUCGAACAAAAUAUGAAGGAGUUUUAUAACUCCCAGACUCCACCAAGUGAAGAACCU
rnacentral:lncRNA from 1 species